rnacentral:piRNA from 1 species
UAAGAAAGAAGGAAAAGCAUUGUUUGUU